AUUCAAAUGAUAAAUAACCUCUGACUGAGGCAUUGGGCUUAAAGAAACACUCAAACCACCAUAACCACUACAGCCAGCUAUUGCCAGGAGUGCUUACCUGGGGUCUCCCAUCGACUCCUCCUUAUUUGCAAGGAGAUUCUACUUGCGAGUAGUGGAUGUAGGGAAGGGAUAGGGACUGUACUAGGGUAGGUAGUGAGUGCAGUGGGGGAUAGGAGCUGUAGUGGUGGAAGAGGUUGUUGAGGCUAUGGUACGUGCAGAGAGCGUAGGAGCUGCAAUGUGUGCAUGGAGGGAUAGGGGCUGUAGUGGUCGCAGGGGGAGUUAGGAGAUGAAGCCGGUGCAUGGGGGGACCGAGGCUGCAGUGGGUGCAGGGAGGGAUAGGGGCUGUAGUGGGUGCAUAGGGGGAUAGGAACUGCAGUGGGUGCAUGGGGGGAUAGGAGAUGCAGCGGGUGCAUGGGGGGACAGAGGCUGCAGUGUAGUGGUCUCAGGGGGUGCUGAGGAAAUGGUAGAUGCAGGGAGGAUAAGGGCUGCAGUGGGUGUCACUCGAGCAGCGCCAGCUCUACAGACUGUGAGGAUACUCCAUGGGGCUGGUGGCAGAGCUGGGCUGGGUGCUGUGUAUUUCCAGCACCCACCAAGAUCCGGCACUGGCUCUCAAUAAUAAGCUAAGUCCUGCCCCACCUGGCUCAGCUCAGUGCAUGGAGCUUCUGGCUAGUGAGACGGUUCACUCUGGCUAGUGCUACAUACUCCCAGUGGGCCCAGGUAUGUUUUCAAAUUGUAUGAGCACCUACCCUGGGGGAGCACCAAAACAUCCCUGGCACUAUAACUAAUAGAAUGGACUGCAGUGGUUAGCAGACAUCCCAAGUCUCCCAGUAGUUCUGGGAGUCUCUCGGAGUAAGUUUGAAUGUGGCUCCCUGACACCCGCCAAUCAUAUACAAUAUCCCUGAAAUCACACACACAAUGUGACAUACAAUGUGUGUUGGAUUUCCAUUAUAUUGCAUAUGAUUUGCGCCCCUCUUCCCCAUAAUACUCACUAAACAGGGGCCAGGUCGGGUGCCGGCACUUUAAGAGCCGACUGGGCCCCUGUGAUAUCAGCCGGUACUAGAGAGGAAGUAACAGCCUGUCACUUGCUCUCAGCUUCACAUAGAGCUGCCCGGGAGGAAUCAACAUGUAGGCAAAUGAGAGGCAUGCUUACUCCCAUCAGCCUCAGCCAGCACCAGAAACCUAAACAAGCAACCCUCCUGGACACAAAGGUAAGCUAACAGGAAGGUGCCUGAAAAUAUAUAAAGUAUGACAUGUAUGUGUGUGUUGGAGUGUGUGUGUGUGUAUCUGUGUGUAUGUACCAAUAUGUGUCAGAUUGUGUUUUUGUGUCAGUGUGUAUCUGUAUGUCAGUGUGUGUAUCUGAGUGUGUGUCAGUGUGUAUCUUAGUGUGUGUUGUAUAUGUGCAUGUGUGUGUAUCUAUAUCAGUGUGUGUAUCUCCGUGUAUGUGCCAGUGUGUGUGUCAGUGGGUAUCUGGGUGUGUAUGUGCCAGUGUGUGUGUUUUAAUAUGUGUAUAUGUGUGUCAGUGUGUAUCUGUGUGUGUGUGUUGGUGUGUUUGUGCCUGUGUGUGCCAUGGCGUGUAUCUGUGUGUUUAUGUCAGUAUCUGCAUCUGAAUGUAUGUGCCAGUGUGUGUUUUAAUAUGUGUAUCUGUGUGUCGGUGUGUGUUUGUACCUGUGUGUGUACCAUGGCGUGUAUAUGUGUGUCAAGGUGUUAAUACAUGUUUGGUGGCUGUGUGUGUGUGGGGGAGUGGCGCAGUAGCUGGUGAAGACACCUUCCUGAAAUUAAUUUUUGCAUGUUGGGCUGUCUGGGUUAGGGUGCUUGGAGUGUUCAUAAAAAUGCCUUUUAGGCAUGGCCAUGGGCUGCAGUUUACAAUAGUCCUCCCGAUACUAUAGUCCUCUCGAUGCUAUAGCCCAACUGAUACUAUACUCCUCCUGAUACAAUAGUCCUCCCGAUGCUAUAGUCCUCCCAAUACUAUAGUCCUUCCGAUGCUAUAGUCCUCCCGAUACUAUAAUCCUGAUACUAUAGUUCUCCUGAUACUACAGUCCUUCCAAUGCUAUAGUCCCAAUACAAUAGUCCUCCCGUUACUAUAGUCCUCCCAAUGCUAUAGUCCUGAUACUAUACUCCUCCCAAUGCUAUAGUCACGGUGCUAUAGUCCUCCCAAUGCUAUUGUCCUCGAAAAUACUAUAGUCCCGAUACUAUAGUUCUCACAAUGUUAUAGUCCCAAUGCCAUAGUCCUUCCGAUACUAUAGUCUUGAUGCUAUAGUCCUCCCGAUGCUAUAGUCCUCCCGAUGCUAUAGUCAUUGUGAUGUUAUAAUGUAAAUGGUAGUUGGUUCAGCGCUUGGUGUGUCAAUAGAAUAGUGCAGGAUAUAUUUACAUAUGGGCAGCAACCUAAAAUAAGACGUUCCCUCACAGUGCGUCAAAGAAAGGGGAGAAUCAGAGAAAUAAAAGAU
rnacentral:lncRNA from 1 species